UUACAAAAAUUUUUCGUUCUUUUCUCAUUCUUUUCAAAAAAUCUCUUUUCUUUUAAUAUCUUCGAUUUUUCAGCCAAGACCAUCAUAAUUCUGAGAUUUUUUUCCUUUCGAUUAAAAAAAAAGAAGUGAAAAUUGAUUAAAUACAUUUGAAGAUACAAGUCAACGAAAUUUUGGGGUUAGUGUAACCCUUGUGUGUAGGAAUCGGGAGAAAAAUAAGUUAACUGCAUGGUAAUCAAAUAAGAUGGAAAUUUAGCGCGUUAAAGAAGUUAUAUAAUAAAAAAAGGGAUCAUAAUCGUACUAGUGGAAAUGCUCCAAAGGCUCUUGAUAAAUUUGAAGAACCAAUUAAAGAAAUUUCAGGUGAUAAAAGUGGUGAUGCUAUUAAAAAAAAUUCUUUCAAUUCACCAUUAUUAAAGCAAACUUCAUUGAAUCAAUCACAAGAACAAAAUAUAAUAUUGUUAGAAAAUGUUGAUAGAGAAAAAAAAUUAAUGAUAUUCAGAACAAUAUAAAAAUAAAUCAAAUGAGGAAGCAUGACAUACCUGAAACAGACUCAGAGAAUAUUGAUAUUGAAGAAGCAAUAAAUAGUGGACAGAAUAAUAUAAAAAUAAACCAAGUAAAAAAACAUAGUGUACAUGGAACAGGCUCUAAAGUUGCUCGUACAAAAUUAGAAUUGGAGAAACAGUGGUUAGAACAUUUAAAAAUCAUACAUCAAAAAUAUGAAGAUAGAAGUAGUCAUGAUGGAAAUAAACAUAACA